rnacentral:piRNA from 1 species
UGUAGAUAUGCCAAAGAUAAAUGUAGAACCAC